UACGGAGGGUGCAAGCGUUAUCCGGAUUCACUGGGUUUAAAGGGUGCGUAGGCGGGCAGGUAAGUCCGUGGUGAAAUCUCUGAGCUUAACUCAGAAACUGCCAUGGAUACUAUUUGUCUUGAAUAUUGUGGAGGUAAGCGGAAUAUGUCAUGUAGCGGUGAAAUGCUUAGAUAUGACAUAGAACACCCAUUGCGAAGGCAGCUUACUACACAAUUUAUUGACGCUGAGGCACGAAAGCGUGGGGAUCAAACAGG
rnacentral:rRNA from 1 species